AUAGGGGAGCCGGAGGGAAACCGAGUCUUAAUUGGGCGUUAAGUUGCAGGGUAUAGACCCGAAACCCGGUGAUCUAGCCAUGGGCAGGUUGAAGGUUGGGUAACACUAACUGGAGGACCGAACCGACUAAUGUUGAAAAAUUAGCGGAUGACCUGUGGCUGGGGGUGAAAGGCCAAUCAAACCGGGAGAUAGCUGGUUCUCCCCGAAAGCUAUUUAGGUAGCGCCUCGUGAAUUCAUCUCCGGGGGUAGAGCACUGUUUCGGCUAGGGGGCCAUCCCGGCUUACCAACCCGAUGCAAACUGCGAAUACCGGAGAAUGUUAUCACGGGAGACACACGGCGGGUGCUAACGUCCGUCGUGAAGAGGGAAACAACCCAGACCGCCAGCUAAGGUCCCAAAGUCAUGGUUAAGUGGGAAACGAUGUGGGAAGGCCCAGACAGCCAGGAUGUUGGCUUAGAAGCAGCCAUCAUUUAAAGAAAGCGUAAUAGCUCACUGGUCGAGUCGGCCUGCGCGGAAGAUGUAACGGGGCUAAACCAUGCACCGAAGCUGCGGCAGCGAACGUAUCACUUAAAG
rnacentral:rRNA from 1 species